rnacentral:rRNA from 1 species
UACGUAGGGUGCAAGCGUUGUCCGGAAUUAUUGGGCGUAAAGAGCUCGUAGGCGGUUUGGCGCGUCAGCUGUGAAAACCUGGGGCUCAACCCCGGGCCUGCAGCCGAUACGGGCAAGCUAGAGUUCGGUAGGGGAGACUGGAAUUCCUGGUGUAGCGGUGAAAUGCGCAGAUAUCAGGAGGAACACCGGUGGCGAAGGCGGGUCUCUGGGCCGAUACUGACGCUGAGGCGCGAAAGCGAGGGGAGCAAACAGG